GUUUUAAUUCUCUAUAAAUACAGGGUUGCUACUUAAGUGUGUGUCCACGAGAAAACCAGACCAAAUGUAGAAAAUGCGGCAAGGCGGGGGUGAACGGAUUUACACCAUAUUUGAUGUGUUUGAACUUUUAUAUGAACAAUAUCUGAGGCUGCAAUAUUUCCUGAAAAAAAUCCCUACCUACAGAGAUAUGGGCAGUCACAAUUUGGGGGGUUAAUCAACCAAAAAUUCAUCUGAAAAACGGGGUUAUAUUGAUUGGCCUUACAGUUGAUACAGGUGUGACUUAAUGAUUUAGUUUGGUGAUAUGUUAUAACCUAAAGAUAGGGUAUUAAAAUGAUAUACACUUUUUUCACCCUCUUUGUUCCCAUCGUAACAAACUAAACGUUUUUCUCAGGGCUACGAACCACGUGCUUUGAACACCCCCCUUCUAUUGUUAACAAUAUCUUCAUCUUCACAGGUCUUUGGGGUAAAGCGUGUUCAGGACUAACAGAUAACUCAUUAAUCUAUUUAUACAUGAAAUCAAAACUUACUGCUGUUCUACAACUUGUCCGUUGUAAGAGAUAGAACAUGACCUAAUUCCUUCAUUUUUCGUAAAUAUAUCCGGACUUAUAUAUCGGUGCACUCAACUUCAGCUAUCUCUUUCAAGUCAACAAAUGGUUUAAAACACUGUUAGUUGAGCUUUAUAUCUUCAUUUUACCUAUUCUAAUUUUUUUCUGGUUAAAACAAGCAUCUAACACAUUUUAAAAUCAUGUGAAACUAAUGUACUAACGACAGAACAACACAGCGUGAUUAUCCAACAUGGCGGAAAGCGCAGACUGUUUCUUUGCAAAUCUUCCUCACCGAAGUCGUAUGUCAUGUGGUUUAUACCUGUCUACAGAUAUGAAAAAACAUGUAGUGUAUUGAAAAACUGCAACAGAGAUAUACAGUCAUCUUUGUCGCGUUUACGUGAAGCAAAACUGCGUGAGUUACGAAAGCAAACUGAUUCUUGUCAGGUGUGGACUCUUUUGUCUCCGAUGACCGCAAUUGGACAUUUUCAAGUAUCUUUGGGAGAAUGAAUGGGUUACACCAUGUGACCAGCAUAGGGAUAUGGGCUUGGUUUGUGCUGGAAACCAUCCACACAGGGAAAAACGAGCCUAUAACGAAAUAUGUCAUGGGAUUAACUUGCAGAUGUCAGUGUAGACAAAAAGCCAUUUGAAUAUACUGGUACCACUUGCUUCAGGCACAUUUGAGAGGUGUUAUUUGACACAGUGAUCUUAUGGUCAGCAAAAGAGUCCAAAGCCUUGCAGAAACUGAAACUAGUGUGGAAAUGACGGAUGUUGUAGAAAGGCAUGUAUGUAAAUGAAAGCCACAAUAUAACAAAUGCUGAGGAGUUGCAUGAGGCCUUAGUUUCUGCAGAUGGAGUGGAGGGGUGCUCUUUUGCUGCCAUUUUCUACAUCCAGCUAGACAGACAUCUUCUAAACCUGCGUGGACUGGAGUGUCCAAUUACAACAAUUUGGCUUUCUUGAUUCCUUCAACAUGAGAAAAGGUGUCUCUCUUCCUUGAGCAGUUUUAAUAUGAGUAAUACUGAUGUUAAAGUUAAUUUGGGUUUUUCUGAGGCAAAUGUGCCAACUGGGACUAUACCUAGAGAACUCCACCCUCUUGAAUAUCUCACUGAGUUACACAAUGGAUGAGCUUUAAAGUCAUAUAAACCUUUGAAACUAUAUUCAAAUAAAGUAAAGGAGUUUUUACUGAAGGAGUUUAGAAGGGCACAAGAAACAGGCCAGCAGAACCUAGCAUUUGUGAGCAUGAAGAUGAGAUUGAAAUGUCAGUAAGGAGGGUUACAGACUAUUCAGGAAGAAAAAGUGCAGUUAUUUUUGAAUGUAUUAUAAACUUUGAUGUUAUGAGCUGUAAUGUUUGAUAUAAAACUGUCAAGAUGUUUCAUAACACCAGGUUAUAUUUUGCAGUUGUGUUAGUUUUGCUUUUUGAAUAGAAAAUUAUCUUGUUUUGCUACAUUAUGAUAUAGGUUGUAAUGAUCACAACUAAUGUUGCACUGCUUUGCAUGUAUUGCUGUAUUAUAAUUUUGUGAUUUUUUUAUUAUUUGUAAUUAUUCAUCUGAGACAAAAAUAAACUAAUUUGAAUA
rnacentral:lncRNA from 1 species